UACGAAGGGGGGCUAGCGUUGCUCGGAAUCACUGGGCGUAAAGCGCACGUAGGCGGCUUUCUAAGUCAGGGGUGAAAUCCUGGAGCUCAACUCCAGAACUGCCUUUGAUACUGGCGAUCUCGAGUCCGGGAGAGGUGAGUGGAACUGCGAGUGUAGAGGUGAAAUUCGUAGAUAUUCGCAAGAACACCAGUGGCGAAGGCGGCUCACUGGACCGGAACUGACGCUGAGGCGCGAAAGCGUGGGGAGCAAACGGG
rnacentral:rRNA from 1 species